GAGGGUAUAGCUUAGUGGUAAGAGCAUGUGCUUAGCAUGCAUGAGGUCCUGGGUUCAAUCCCCCAUACCUCCA
rnacentral:tRNA from 1 species